rnacentral:rRNA from 1 species
GUGUCAGCAGCCGCGGUAAUACGAAGGUCCCAAGCGUUAUCCGGAUUUAUUGGGUUUAAAGGGUGCGUAGGCGGGCUAUUAAGUCAGUGGUGAAAGCCUCAAGCUUAACUUGAGAAUUGCCAUUGAUACUGAUGACCUUGAGUACAUUUGAAGUGGGCGGAAUGUGUCAUGUAGCGGUGAAAUGCUUAGAUAUGACACAGAACACCGAUUGCGUAGGCAGCUCACUAAACUGUAACUGACGCUGAGGCACGAAAGCGUGGGGAGCAAACAGGAUUAGAUACCCGCGUAGUCC